UUUGAAAACUGCUUAUCAAAAACUCGAGAAGAAUCCCAAAAGCCGAGAAAUUACUACAUUUGUAACACAACAAGGACUGUAAACAUAUAAGAUUUAGCCCAGCACCUGAGAUAAAAACUGCGAGGAACGAUUAGCGAAAUCCCUGAAUGCAAUUUAUUAUAUUAAGGAUGUAAUUAUCUUUAGGAGCUCAUUGGAGGAACACGACAAAAUGGUGGAGAUGUUCCUCAGGCAUAUAUUAUUUGACACAGGCAUUUCUGAUGAUCCAUAGAAGGUAUAAUUAAUUACGGCUUUUAGGCCACCAAAGUACAAAGAAGAACUUCGGAGUUUCUUAGGCCUGGUCACCAUUCGACAAAUUAAAAAUUAGGUUUUCACGUAUUCCGGAGUUGGCGUCUUUUCACGUUAAGUUAAAAACUCACUUAAUUGCUGAUGCCAGUCCAGUAGCGCUGGGAGAGGUCUUAAUACAGUUCGAUGUCGAAAACAAUACCUUUAUCAUAUCGUUUACAAGUAAGAGGCUGCAGAUGUUGAGAAACGAUAUUCGUAAACGGAAAAGGAAAGUCUGGCAUUGGCAUGGAGCGUUGAAAAAUUUAAUUACUACGUUGCUGGCAUCGAGUUGGUAACGGAUCAUUAGACAUUAAAA